UACGUAGGCAGCAAGCGUUGUUCGGAAUUACUGGGCGUAAAGGGCGCGUAGGCGGUUCGUCAAGUCCUGUGUGAAAUCCCCCGGCUCAACUGGGGAACUGCACAGGAAACUAGCGGGCUUGAGUUCGGGAGAGGGAAGCGGAAUUCCGGGUGUAGCGGUGAAAUGCGUAGAUAUCCGGAGGAACACCGGUGGCGAAGGCGGCUUCCUGGACCGACACUGACGCUGAGGCGCGAAAGCUAGGGGAGCAAACGGG
rnacentral:rRNA from 1 species